GACGUAGGGAGCGAGCGUUGUCCGGAUUCAUUGGGCGUAAAGAGCGCGCAGGCGGUUUGGUAAGUCGGAUGUGAAAACCCGGGGCUCAACCCCGGGCGUGCAUCUCGAUACUGCCCGACUAGAGGUAGGUAGGGGAGAUCGGAAUUCCUGGUGUAGCGGUGAAAUGCGCAGAUAUCAGGAGGAACACCGGUGGCGAAGGCGGAUCUCUGGGCCUUACCUGACGCUCAGGCGCGAAAGCUAGGGGAGCGAACAGGAUUAGAUACCCUGGUAGUCCUAGCCGUAAACGUUGGGUGCUAGGUGUGGGCGGAUAUCGACCCCGUCCGUGCCGAAGCUAACGCAUUAAGCACCCCGCCUGGGGAGUACGGCCGCAAGGCUAAA
rnacentral:rRNA from 1 species